GGGAAAAGAGGAAUCGGGGAAAACGAAUCCAAAACGCUCUUAAGUGACACAGGAAUUUUUCUUCCAGUUGGAUCAGGCAUAUGCAGAAAGUGUAGAGAACUCAUAAGGACGA